rnacentral:rRNA from 1 species
UACGUAGGGGGCGAGCGUUGUCCGGAAUCAUUGGGCGUAAAGCGCGCGCAGGCGGCCGCGAGAGUCCGGCGUGAAAGCCCCCGGCUCAACCGGGGGAGGCCGUCGGGGACCUCGUGGCUGGAGGCCGGCAGGGGUGAGUGGAAUUCCCGGUGUAGUGGUGGAAUGCGUAGAGAUCGGGAGGAACACCAGUGGCGAAGGCGGCUCACUGGGCCGGACCUGACGCUGAGGCGCGACAGCGUGGGGAGCAAACAGG